UUUCUUUCAUUUUUUAUGCCUUACCUCCGAAAUUUCUGUUUUUUACAUUUUUCUAAUUUUUCAUGCCUUACUGCAUUUUAACCCCAGUUUAAGUGUGCUCAUCAUAUUUACACUAGUUUUUAGGGUCUUAUGAUAGCCUUAUCUCAAUUUUUUUUUUUUUCAUUUUUUAUGCCUUACUAUAGCCUUACCUCCGAAAUUUCUGUUUUUUACAUUUUUCUAAUUUUUCGUGCCUUACUGCAUUUUAACCCCCGUUUAAGUGUGCUCAUCAUAUUUGCACUAGUUUUAGGGUCUUAUGAUAGCCUUAUCUCAAUUUUUUUUUCUUUCAUUUUUUAUGCCUUACCUCCGAAAUUUCUGUUUUUUACAUUUUUCUAAUUUUUCAUGCCUUACUGCAUUUUAACCCCAGUUUAAGUGUGCUCAUCAUAUUUACACUAGUUUUUAGGGUCUUAUGAUAGCCUUGUCUCAAUUUUUUUUUUUUUCAUUUUUUAUGCCUUACCUCCGAAAUAUCUGUUUUUUUACAUUUUUCUAAUAAUUCGUGCCUUACUGCAUUUUAACCCCCGUUUAAGUGUGCUCAUCAUAUUUGCACUAGUUUUUAGGGUCUUAUGAUAGCCUUAUCUCAAUUUUUUUUAUUUCAUUUUUUAUGCCUCUUUAUGCCGAAAUUUCUGUUUUUUACAUUUUUCUAAUUUUUCAUGCCUUACUGCAUUUUAACCCCAGUUUAAGUGUUCUCAUCAUAUUUGCACUAGUUUUUAGGUUCUUAUGAUAGCCUUAUCUCAGAAAAAAAAAAAAAAAAAAAAAAACAUUACGAUCUUUUUUGCCUUACUAUAGCCUUACCUCUGAAAUUUCUGUUUUUUACAUUUUUCUAUUUUUUCAUGCCUUACUGCAUUUUAACCCCAGUUUAAGUGUGCUCAUCAUAUUUGCACUAGUUUUUAGGGUCUUAUGAUAGCCUUAUCUCAAUUUUUUUUUUUUUCAUUUUUUAUGCCUUACUAUAGCCUUACCUCCGAACUAUCUGUUUUUGUACAUUUUUCUAAUAAUUCGUGCCUUACUGCAUUUUAACCCCCGUUUAAGUGUGCUCAUCAUAUUUGCACUAGUUUUUAGGGUCUUAUGAUAGCCUUAUCUCAAAUUUUUUUUUUUCAUUUUUUAUGCCUUACUAUAGCCUUACCUCCGAAAUUUCUGUUUUUUACAUUUUUCAAAUUUUUCGUGCCUUACUGCAUUUUAACCCCAGUUUAAGUGUGCUCAUCAUAUUUGCACUAGUUUUUAGGGUCUUAUGAUAGCUUUAUCUCAGAAAAAAAAAAAAAAAAAAAAAAAAACAUUACGAUCUUUUUGCCUUACUAUAGCCUUACCUCCGAAAUUUCUGUUUUUUACAUUUUUCUAAUUU
rnacentral:lncRNA from 1 species